UCCUACGGGGGGCAGCAGUCGAGAAUUUUUCUCAAUGGGCGAAAGCCUGAAGGAGCGACGCCGCGUGGGGGAUGAAUGGCUUCGGCCCGUAAACCCCUGUCAUUUGCGAACAAAUUGAUUCAAUUAAUACCUGAAUCAUUGAUUGUAGCGGAAGAGGAAGGGACGGCUAACUCUGUGCCAGCAGCCGCGGUAAUACAGAGGUCCCAAGCGUUGUUCGGAUUCACUGGGCGUAAAGGGUGCGUAGGCGGUUGGGUAAGUCUGACGUGAAAUCUCCGAGCCUAACUCGGAAACUGCGUUGGAUACUAUCCUGCUAGAGGAAUGGAGGGGAGACUGGAAUACUUGGUGUAGCAGUGAAAUGCGUAGAUAUCAAGUGGAACACCAGUGGCGAAGGCGAGUCUCUGGACAUUUCCUGACGCUGAGGCACGAAAGCCAGGGGAGCAAACGGGAUUAGAUACCCCGGU
rnacentral:rRNA from 1 species